rnacentral:siRNA from 1 species
UGAGAAUAUUUUCAGGAUAUG